UACUCUAUUUGGAUAUGCCCUACAAUUCGAUAGUCGUGUGAUCCACACAAUGUCCAUAUGGGUGGACUUGGGUAAAAUGCUGCUCAGGUUGAGCUCUGAUUUCGUGAAAUAACACUCAUACAAAUAAUUUUAAGAAUCAGAUAAGAAGAAUUGAAUGAAUCUGCGCAGCGCCCAGGGGGACGCACGUGAACAAGCAAAAAAGCUGCUGCUGGCCACCACCACACGAGUCACGACACCGGGUUGUAUGAUGGCUUUCUAACUACUACUAAUCCGAUGUUAGCUAGCCUAUUAUCUAUAUUUCUUGGUUCGUUAAAGUUGUUAUGCAAGCAAUGUCAUACAUCGUGCGUUUAGCUUUCUACAUCGAGCAGCUCUAGUUAGCUAGCUGUCGCAUACCAAUCUGACAACACAGCUUAUUGGCUGGCGCAGCUCAAAGUUAUUUUUACCUUUGGCUUAAUAAUUGCAAGUGUCUUAGAAGAGUACCACUGCGGAUAACCACAUUACUAGCUCUACAUUAUGUGUCCAAUUUACCAUGAUUAGAAAAGUAGUUGUAAUGAACACUCACCGAAUGUUUUUGCUCCUCUGUCACUGUGAAGCUAACCAGGAAGAAAACAAAAUAGCACUUUGAUUGACAAACCAACCCACGAAUGCAAGCAAUGAGUAACGGAUGGAAGCAGCCAAUGAAACGUCUCUGGAACAAACGGAGGGUGAAUGAUAACUAUGCACCUGAUGCGUCGUUGGGGCUUUGAGUGCUAAUCAUCUGGGGGUGAGUUGUGGUUGCAGCAGCCUUCAGGAAUCCUUAUUCCAGGAAUGGAAACACCGGAGAACCUUCAACAGAGAACCUAUGGGCGAACAUGGGGUCAAACAGAAAAAGGCUUAAUCAUUCUGGGAAAGGAACAUUCCCAGAAAGAGGGGUCACGUGUGCACGAUAUGGUCUCCGUUCCACCAAUCCAUGGCCCAAACGAUGAAGUCACCCACAGCCAAAGAGGGAGCGGAAAGCGGUCUAAGGCCCACUGAAAGGAGAAGCUGAGCCCAAGGACCAUGCGUCAGGAUUACCUGGCCUGAUGACUCCUGGCUGUUCCCAGUCCACCUGGUCAUGCUGCUGCUCCAGUUUCAACUGUUCUGCCUGCGGCUAUGGAACCAUGACCUGUUCACCGGAUGUGCUACCUUGUCCCGGACCUGCUGUUUUCGACUCUCUCUCUACCGCACCUGCUGUCUCGACCUCUGAAUGCUUGGCUAUGAAAAGCCAACUGACAUUUACUCCUGAGGUACUGACCUGUUGCAACUAAUGUGAUUAUUGUUUGACCCUGCUUGUAAUCUAUGAAUGUUUGAACAUCUUGAAGAACAAUCUGGCCUUAAUGGCCAUGUACUCUUAUAAUCUCACCCCCAGCACAGCCA